rnacentral:rRNA from 1 species
CAGCGGAGCAUGUGGUUUAAUUCGACGCAACGCGAAGAACCUUACCUGGGUUUGACAUGUUCCUGACCGCCCUGGAAACAGCUCCCAGGUACAGGUGUGACGAGCGCAACCCCUGCCGCAUGUUGCCAGCGGGAUGUCAAGUAUCAUGCCCCUUAUAUCCAGGCUACAUACAUGGCCGGUACAAGGGCUGCGAUACCGCGAGGUGGAGCGUCCCAAAAAGCCGGUCUCGGUUCGGAUUGGAGUGAAACUCGCCUCCAUGAAGGCGGAGUUGCUAGUAAUCCGGAUCAGCAACGCCGGGGUGAAUACGUUCCCGGGCCUUGUACACACCGCCGUCACACCACGAAAGCGGGCAACACCCGAAGCCGGUGGCCCAACCCUCACGGGAGGGAGCCGUCCAAGUGGGGCUCGUGAUUGGGGUGAAAUCGUACAA